rnacentral:rRNA from 1 species
UACGAAUGGGGCAAAUGUUAUCCUAAAUGAUUGGGCAUAAAGAGUGUUUAGAUUGUAAUAAAUGUUUGAUGCAAAAAUCUAAAAUUUUCUUUAGAAAAGCUAAAAAUCCAUUUUUACUUGAGUAAAAUAGAGGUAAGCAGAAUUUUAUUUCCAGGAGUAGAAUCCAAAGUCACAAAGGAAUGCCACUAGCUAAUGCAGCUUUCUAUAAUUUUACUGACAUUGUCAAACGAAGGCUUUGGUAUCAAACAGG